rnacentral:rRNA from 1 species
UACGGGGGGGCAAGCGUUGUUCGGAAUUCCUGGGCGUAAAGGGCUCGUAGGUGGCCCACUAAGUCAGACGUGAAAUCCCUCGGCUUAACCGGGGAACUGCGUCUGAUACUGGAUGGCUAGAGAUUGGGAGAGGGAUGCGGAAUUCCAGGUGUAGCGGUGAAAUGCGUAGAUAUCUGGAGGAACACCGGUGGCGAAGGCGGCAUCCUGGACCGGUAUUGACGCUGAGGCGCGAAAGCUAGGGGAGCAAACGGG